UCGGGUGUGGUGCACGGUGCACGGCGGUUGUUAAUAAUAAACCUGCUUAGGUGCAUAUGCCGCAGGACGGGGUUCGACUCCCCGCACCCGAA